AUUGAACGCUGGCGGCAUGCCUAACACAUGCAAGUCGAACGGUAACAGGCCCUUGGGUGCUGACGAGUGGCGGAUGGGUGAGUAAUACUUAGGAAUCUACCCUGUAGUGGGGGACGAACCCGGGGAAACGUCGGCGUAAUACCGCAUACGCUCUACGGAGGAAAGCGGGGACCGCAAGGCUCGCGCUAUUGGAUGAGCCUAAGCCCG
rnacentral:rRNA from 1 species